CAUGCACCUAUUUGAUGAUAACAAAAAGGGGGAGAAGUAAAGAAAGAGUAAUAGGGGGAGAAGUAAAGAUAGAGUAAUAAGGGGAGAAGUAAAGAUAGAGUAAUAAGAGGAGAAGUAAAGAAAGGAAGAGAAAUAACUUAUAAAACAAAUUGAAAAUCAUAUAGGAAAGCAUAUACAUCCAAGGGGGAGCAAUUUGCAACAAUGAAAAUGAUCAACUCAAAAAUUUAUAUCAAAUUUCAGAAUUUGGCACACAUAAUUUCA
rnacentral:lncRNA from 1 species